UGAGGGUUUAGGGUUCAGUCUCUUAUGAA
rnacentral:piRNA from 1 species